UAGUGGCUGCAUAUUCGUUUCCUAUGAAAUUUUGGUACUGGGAGAAAGUGUGACUCUUGGUACGCAGGCUGUAGAACGAGAAAAGCUGAAAUCGUAUGUCUAUGUGUACCCUAUUCCACUAGAAAAGCAAGGAUUGGAGGGAAUUGCAAGCAAAGCCAAAAAAGAACUGCAAAGGACAGUCAAAAGACUGGUGCAAGCCACGGCUGAGAUUUUCUCAUUGCCACUGGAUGAGCGUUACUUGAGACAGGACGUGGAAGACCAUGAUUCUGAUUUGUGGCUUCUUCUAAAACAGACUCAGUCUGCAGUUAAAGCAGUACGUCUGCAAGCUGUUCAGGAACUGGCAAAGAAGCAUCACUGGCAUGGUA